CGAGGCGAUCGGAUGGUCGCGCGGCGACGGGGCAACCCGAGCGCCGUGAGGAAAGUCCGAGCUCCACAGCGCAAGGUAGCGGGUAACUCCCGCCCGCCGCGAGGCGAGGACGAGCGCCACAGUGACGAUGUCGCCGGCAAUGGCCGGCGAAGUGAAACGGGCAAGCUCUACCUGGAGCAAGGCCAAAUAGGAGGGCGCAACCCGGCUUGCCGGGGGAGAGGCGCGCUGCCCAGCCCUCGGGUCGGCCGCACGAGCUGGCGGGUAACCGCCGGCCUCAGAUGGAUGGCCAUCCCCGUCGCCGCCUCGGUGGUGACGGGACAGAACUCGGCUUACAGAUCGCCUCGCUGG
rnacentral:RNase_P_RNA from 1 species